rnacentral:rRNA from 1 species
UACGGGGGGAGCAAGCGUUGUUCGGAUUUACUGGGCGUAAAGGGCGCGUAGGCGGCCACUGCAAGUCAGUUGUGAAAUCUCCGGGCUUAACUCGGAAAGGUCAACUGAUACUGCAGGGCUAGAGUGCAGAAGGGGCAACUGGAAUUCUCGGUGUAGCGGUGAAAUGCGUAGAUAUCGAGAGGAACACCUGCGGCGAAGGCGGGUUGCUGGGCUGACACUGACGCUGAGGCGCGAAAGCUAGGGGAGCGAACGGG